GUGGGGGAUAUUGCACAAUGGGGGGAACCCUGAUGCAGCGACGCCGCGUGGGUGAAGGAGUGCUUCGGCAUGUAAAGCCCUAUCGGCAGGGAAGAAGAAGACGGUACCUGACUAAGAAGCCCCGGCUAACUACGUGCCAGCAGCCGCGGUAAUACGUAGGGGGCAAGCGUUAUCCGGAUUCACUGGGUGUAAAGGGAGCGUAGACGGCCAUGCAAGCCUGGAGUGAAAGCCCGGGGCCCAACCCCGGGACUGCUCUGGGAACUGCACGGCUGGAGUGCGGGAGGGGCAGGCGGAAUUCCUGGUGUAGCGGUGAAAUGCGUAGAUAUCAGGAGGAACACCGGCGGCGAAGGCGGCCUGCUGGACCGCGACUGACGUUGAGGCUCGAAAGCGUGGGGAGCGAACAGG
rnacentral:rRNA from 1 species